rnacentral:rRNA from 1 species
GACUGACCGAUAGUGAACCAGUACCGUGAGGGAAAGGCGAAAAGAACCCCGGCGAGGGGAGUGAAAAAGAACCUGAAACCGUGUACGUACAAGCAGUGGGAGCCCCACCACUAAGCCAGUGGUGAACUCCACAUACGCAUCCUUUGCUGAGGAUACGGUUAACGGAGCGAAAGCGACGUUCAACCGCAAAAGAAGCAGAGGGGGCUUAGUGGUGGGGUGACUGCGUACCUUUUGUAUAAUGGGUCAGCGACUUAUAUUCUGUAGCAAGGUUAACCGAAUAGGGGAGCCGGAGGGAAACCGAGUCUUAACCGGGCGUUAA